CUCAGAUGUUUCUCCCUCUGGCUGAGCACAGACUCUGCUCACCUGGUUCCAUGGGAGCCCUCAGGAUGGUUGCAGUUUGGGGUUUUCAAGAUUCCAAGAUACCAGGUUGUUUCUCUGAAGUUCUGAGUAUGUCCUGCUCCCGCUGGUGUCAUGGGAAGAGGACAGCUCCUUCAGCACUUGACAAGCCAUGAGCGUUGUUUGAGGUUGCUCUGUUAUGGAGGCAAACUACACAGAGUAAAUGAGGUGGGUGCCCAAGCUCACAUCCUGACUCCAUGCUGUCCUAGGUGCAAAUUACUUUGAAGAGUGGUUUUUCUUCAUAUUGAAAACGUGGGG